rnacentral:rRNA from 1 species
UACGGAGGAUCCAAGCGUUUAUCCGGAUUCAUUGGGUUUAAAGGGUGCGUAGGCGGAAUGAUAAGUCAGCGGUGAAAUCCCUCGGCUUAACCGAGGAACUGCCGUUGAUACUGUCAAUCUUGAGUACAUUUGAUGUGGGCGGAAUGUGUCAUGUAGCGGUGAAAUGCUUAGAUAUGACACAGAACACCGAUUGCGAAGGCAGCUCACAAAACUGUAAAUUGACGCUGAGGCACGAAAGCGUGGGUAUCAAACAGGG